AUUUAUUAUUACUUCUCUUUGUUGCACUGUGCAUAUGCAUUGCUUUCGUCACAAAAAACCUAUGAAAACAAUUUAGAAGAAAUAAAGCAAAUGCUUAAUUACUUCGUGCACCUUUUCCCAACCUUAUAUGGAGAAGAAAAAGUGAGUUACAAUGUACAUUCAGUGCUGCAUUUGGUGGAUUCCGUUAAAUCGUGCGGUUUUCUGAAUUUAUUCUCAGCAUAUGCUUUCGAAAAUUUCUUCCAAACCCUAAAGCGGUUCGUUAAAAGACCCCGAGAAACAUUACAACAAAUAAAUAACAGAUACCAAUAUGAAAACGUGUUUACAAAAGACAGAUAUGUGGGCCCAAAAGUCAAUAGAUGUGGAAAGGUUAUUCGAUUUUAUGGAAAUGACUUUAAUAUCAGCGAUAAAUUACCGGAUAAUUUUUGCUACGUUAAACCGGGAGUGGCAAUACAAAUUAUAAGAUUAUCGAAGAAAGAUGAUGAUGUUUAUAUGCAUGGAAAAGUUUUGAAAAACUGCUGCAAUCUAUUUAUGGAACCAUUGAAAUCGAUGGUAGAUUUGGGCGUUUUCAUAGCUAACAUUGACACCGAAGAAGCGGAGCAAAUCUAUGAUGUCCAACCUAUUUUAUACAAAUUAAUGUGUCUGCCUGACAAUAAUCAAUUUGUAUUUCUACCGAUUAUUCACAGCAAGGACCUAUAAUGGUAACUCAUCCACGGGCUGAAGUCUUUUAGCGUGAAAUCGGUUGUGGAAAAUUACAAAAACGAAAAUUCUUGUCCAUGCAAAAUCGCCAGUCUGGAAAAAAAAAUUGACGAAAUGCAACAACAUAUAGAGAAAUUGACAAAACAAGUUGGCAGUCAACAAAUAAUGCCCUCAUAAAUGCAAUGAGUUGCAGGCGCAAGACUAUAAUAAAUAUACAUACAUAUUUCCAUUAAAGACCGACGAUGCAUUAAAAGAACUUUACACAGAAUUGGAAGGCAACAAGGAAAAAUAUAUGCCUAUAAUACAAGACUAGGGGUCGAAUCGUUACAUCCGUGAACGUAUCAUUCGUCACGUAAAAGACUGUAUUUCGUAUUAUGACGGACGUGAUCGUAACGCUUCUAUCGUGAUCUGGAACGAGUAUAUAAACGUAUCCGUUCGUUCGAACGCGAACUACCAAUCGUAAUAGACAAAUUUAUGGAAAUGUGAGUAAAAUUUUUUAAAAUUUUAAGUAUUUUAUAAUUUUUAGUAAUAAAGGACAU